GAUGAACGCUGGCGGCGUGCCUAAUACAUGCAAGUCGAGCGAACGGACGAGAAGCUUGCUUCUCUGAUGUUAGCGGCGGACGGGUGAGUAACACGUGGAUAACCUACCUAUAAGACUGGGAUAACUUCGGGAAACCGGAGCUAAUACCGGAUAAUAUUUUGAACCGCAUGGUUCAAAAGUGAAAGACGGUCUUGAUGUCACUUAUAGAUGGAUCCGCGCUGCAUUAGCUAGUUGGUAAGGUAACGGCUUACCAAGGCAACGAUGCAUAGCCGACCUGAGAGGGUGAUCGGCCACACUGGAACUGAGACACGGUCCAGACUCCUACGGGAGGCAGCAGUAGGGAAGCUUCCGCAAUGGGCGAAAGCCUGACGGAGCAACGCCGCGUGAGUGAUGAAGGUCUUCGGAUCGUAAAACUCUGUUAUUAGGGAAGAACAUAUGUGUAAGUAACUGUGCACAUCUUGACGGUACCUAAUCAGAAAGCCACGGCUAACUACGUG
rnacentral:rRNA from 1 species